CAGUAGCCACGGUAAUACAGAGGGUGCGAGCGUUAAUCGGAUUUACUGGGCGUAAAGCGUGCGUAGGCGGCUUCUUAAGUCGGAUGUGAAAUCCCUGAGCUUAACUCAGGAAUUGCAUUCGAUACUGGGAAGCUAGAGUAUGGGAGAGGAUGGUAGAAUUCCAGGUGUAGCGGUGAAAUGCGUAGAGAUCUGGAGGAAUACCGAUGGCGAAGGCAGCCAUCUGGCCUAAUACUGACGCUGAGGUACGAAAGCAUGGGGAGCAAACAGGAUUAGAUACCCGGGUAGUCCCUGUCUCUUAUAA
rnacentral:rRNA from 1 species